rnacentral:misc_RNA from 1 species
GAUGAAGAACGCAGCGAAAUGCGAUAAGUAAUGUGAAUUGCAGAAUUCAGUGAAACAUCGAAUCUUUGAACGCACAUUGCGCCCGCCAGUAUUCUGGCGGGCAUGCCUGUCUGAGCGUCAUUUCAACCCUCAUGCCCCUAGGGCGUGGUGUUGGGGAUCGGCCAAAGCCCGCGAGGGACGGCCGGCCCCUAAAUCUAGUGGCGGACCCGUCGUGGCCUCCUCUGCGAAGUAGUGAUAUUCCGCAUCGGAGAGCGAUGAGCCCCUGCCGUUAAACCCCCAACUUUCCAAGGUUGACCUCAGAUCAGGUAGGAAUACCCGCUGAACUUAAGCAUAUCAAUAAGCGGAGGA